GACGUAGGGGGCGAGCGUUGUCCGGAUUUAUUGGGCGUAAAGCGCGCGUAGGCGGCCCGGUAAGUCGGAUGUGAAAUCCCGGGGCUCAACCCCGGGCCUGCAUCCGAUACUCCCGGGCUGGAGGCAGGUAGGGGAGAUCGGAAUUCCUGGUGUAGCGGUGAAAUGCGCAGAUAUCAGGAGGAACACCAACGGCGAAGGCAGCUCGCUGGGACGGUACUGACACUAAGGCGCGAAAGCGUGGGGAGCGAACAGG
rnacentral:rRNA from 1 species